rnacentral:rRNA from 1 species
UACGGAGGGUGCGAGCGUUGUCCGGAAUCAUUGGGCGUAAAGGGCGCGUAGGUGGCCCGGUCAGCGUGCGGUGAAAGCUCGGGGCUCAACCCCGAGUCGGCCGUGCGAACUGCUGGGCUCGAGCACUGUAGAGGCAGGCGGAAUUCCGGGUGUAGCGGUGGAAUGCGUAGAGAUCCGGAAGAACACCAGUGGCGAAGGCGGCCUGCUGGGCAGUUGCUGACGCUGAGGCGCGACAGCGUGGGGAGCAAACAGG